rnacentral:rRNA from 1 species
ACGGAGGGUGCAAGCGUUGUUCGGAAUUACUGGGCGUAAAGCGCGUGUAGGCGGUCGCUUAAGUCUGAUGUGAAAGCCCGGGGCUCACCCCCGGAAGAGCAUUGGAAACUGGGCGACUAGAGUGUCGGAGAGGAGGGUGGAAUUCCUGGUGUAGCGGUGAAAUGCGUAGAUAUCAGGAGGAACACCGGUGGCGAAGGCGGCCCUCUGGACGAAGACUGACGCUGAGACGCGAAAGCGUGGGGAGCAAACAGGAUUAGAUACCCUGGUAGUCCACGCUGUAAACGAUGGGCACUAGGUGUUCGGGGUAUUGACCCCCCGAGUGCCGCAGCUAACGCAUUAAGUGCCCCGCCUGGGGACUACGGCCGCAAGGUUA